AGAGUUUGAUCCUGGCUCAGAUUGAACGCUGGCGGCAGGCCUAACACAUGCAAGUCGAGCGGAUGAGUGGAGCUUGCUCCAUGAUUCAGCGGCGGACGGGUGAGUAAUGCCUAGGAAUCUGCCUGGUAGUGGGGGACAACGUUUCGAAAGGAACGCUAAUACCGCAUACGUCCUACGGGAGAAAGUGGGGGAUCUUCGGACCUCACGCUAUCAGAUGAGCCUAGGUCGGAUUAGCUAGUUGGUGAGGUAAAGGCUCACCAAGGCGACGAUCCGUAACUGGUCUGAGAGGAUGAUCAGUCACACUGGAACUGAGACACGGUCCAGACUCCUACGGGAGGCAGCAGUGGGGAAUAUUGGACAAUGGGCGAAAGCCUGAUCCAGCCAUGCCGCGUGUGUGA
rnacentral:rRNA from 1 species